UUACGGCCACAUCACGUUGAAAUAUUGGUUCCCAUACAAUCACCGAAGUUAAACAACGUCGACCCUGGUCAGUACCUAGAUGGGUGACUGUUUGGGAAUACCAGGUACU